rnacentral:rRNA from 1 species
UACGGGGGGAGCAAGCGUUGUUCGGAAUUACUGGGCGUAAAGGGCUCGUAGGUGGCCAACUAAGUCAGACGUGAAAUCCCUCGGCUUAACCGAGGAACUGCGUCUGAUACUGGAUGGCUUGAGUUUGGGAGAGGGAUGCGGAAUUCCAGGUGUAGCGGUGAAAUGCGUAGAUAUCUGGAGGAACACCGGUGGCGAAGGCGGCAUCCUGGACCAACACUGACGCUGAACAGCGAAAGCCAGGGGAGCAAACGGG